rnacentral:lncRNA from 1 species
CGAACACUCAACAGGUAUUAACUGGAGGAAUAACUCAACAAUGGAAGAUGUGUCUUAAAGAAGAAAUAAGAAAGGGCUCCAUGUGCCAGGCACUGUGCUGAAGCUUGAGGAUCAGUAGUGAGAAAAACAGAAAGAAAUCCCUGUUCUCCUGGUGGAAAUGAAAAGCACUAAACAAAGGCGAGUAGGUUACAUGUGUGGUGUGUUUGGUAAUGCUAGUGCCAAGGAGAAAGAGCAGGGAGAGGGAUAAUAUACUUGGAGAAUCUUUG